UUGAAAUAAAAAUUCAGGCUAAGGAAGAGAUAGUUGUAGCUGGCCCCUAGGGGCAUGUGCACACUUGUCUUUCUACUUUGCUUGUUUUUUUCUUUUUUCAUUCUCUCCAUUUGUGCACUGCUUGUAGGCAGUCUGGCGUUGUUCAGGCUGUCUAUGAUUUUCUUUAUAUACAUAUGGAUAUAGUUAUACAGAAUGUGAUAAUAACAAAAAAAAUAAUA
rnacentral:misc_RNA from 1 species